ACAUUGGACAAUGGGGGCAACCCUAAUCCAGCCAUGCCGCGUGAGUGAUGAAGGCCUUAGGGUUGUAAAGCUCUUUCAGUGGGGAAGAUAAUGACGGUACCCACACAAGAAGCCCCGGCUAACUUCCGUCCAUCAUCCGCGGUAAUACGAAGGCGGCUAGCGUUGUUCGGAUUUAAUUGGCGUAAAGCGCACGUAGGCGGAUUGGUCAGUUAGGGGUGAAAUCCCGGAGCUCAACUCCGGAACUGCCUUUAAUACUGCCAGUCUAGAGUCCGAGAGAGGUGAGUGGAACUCCUAGUGUAGAGGUGGAAUUCGUAGAUAUUAGGAAGAUCACCAGUGGCGAAGGCGGCUCACUGGCUCGGUACUGACGCUGAGGUGCGAAAGCGUGGGGAGCAAAC
rnacentral:rRNA from 1 species